AAUGAACGCUGGCGGCAGGCCUAACACAUGCAAGUCGAACGGGUCCUUCGGGACUAGUGGCGGACGGGUGAGUAACGCGUGGGAACGUGCCCUUUGCUACGGAAUAGCCCCGGGAAACUGGGAGUAAUACCGUAUAAGCCCUACGGGGGAAAGAUUUAUCGGCAAAGGAUCGGCCCGCGUUGGAUUAGGUAGUUGGUGGGGUAAUGGCCUACCAAGCCGACGAUCCAUAGCUGGUUUGAGAGGAUGAUCAGCCACACUGGGACUGAGACACGGCCCAGACUCCUACGGGAGGCAGCAUUGGGGAAUCUUAGACAAUGGGGGAAACCCUGAUCUAGCCAUGCCGCGUGAUCGAUGAAGGCCUUAGGGUUGUAAAGAUCUUUCAGGUGGGAAGAUAAUGACUGUACCACCAGAAGAAGCCCCGGCUAACUCCGUGCCAGCCGCCGCCGUAA
rnacentral:rRNA from 1 species